CGGCCGAAGUGGAGAAGGGUUCCAUGUGAACAGCAGUUGAACAUGGGUCAGUCGACCCUAAGGGAUAGGCGAAGGCCGUUCUGAAGCGGGGUGAUGUUCGCGUCGCCCCGGCGGACCGAAAGGGAAUCGGGUUAAUAUUCCCGAACCUCGACGCGGAGAUUGGCGCUCCGGCGCCUAGUGCGGCAACGCAAACGAACUCGGAAACGCCGACGUGGGUCCCGGGAAGAGUUCUCUUUUCUUGGUAAGGGGCGGCGACCCUGGAAUCGGUUCCCUCGGAGAUAGGGACAUGGGCCCCGUAAAGCAGCACGUCUCUUGUGCUGUCCGGUGAGCUCGCGUCGGCCCUUGAAAAUCCGAGGGAGACGGUGUAAUUUUCGUGCGAGGUCGUACCCAUAUCCGCAGCAGGUCUCCAAGGUGAACAGCCUCUGGCCGAUAGAACAAUGUAGGUAAGGGAAGUCGGCAAACUAGAUCCGUAACUUCGGGAAAAGGAUUGGCUCUAGGGGCUGGGUCGGUCGGGCUGAGGUACGAAGCGGGGCGCGGCGCUGUACCGGACUGGGCGAACGACGGCCUCCCUCGCGGGGGGCUGGCGUGAGCCUGGACCUGUGUCGGCGUCUUCCCGUGGAAUGCCGCAGCUAACGCGGGCCUCGCGGCCCGCUUCGGCCGGCGUCGAACAGCCGACUUAGAACUGGUACGGACCGGGGGAAUCCGACUGUUUAAUUAAAACAAAGCUUUGCGAUGGCCGUCAGCCGGGAAU
rnacentral:ncRNA from 1 species